UACGGAAGGUGCAAGCGUUAUUCGGUUUUAUUGGGUUUAAAGGGUGCGUAGGCGGCUUAUUAAGUCAGUUGUGAAAUCCUAGUGCUUAACGCUAGAACUGCGAUUGAUACUGGUAGGCUUGAGUCAAGAAGAGGUAAGUAGAAUUUAUGGUGUAGUAGUGAAAUGCUUAGAUAUCAUAAGGAAUACCAAGAGCGUAGGCAGCUUACUGGUCUUGAACUGACGCUGAGGCACGAAAGCGUGGGGAGCAAACAGG
rnacentral:rRNA from 1 species